rnacentral:lncRNA from 1 species
CUGACAGGGUCUCACUUUGUCGCCCGGGCAGGAGUGCAGUGGCUCAAUCUUGGGCUCACUGCAGCCUCAACCUCCCAGAGGCGGGGUUUCACCAUGUUGCCCAGACUGGUCUUGAACUCCUGAGCUUAAGCAAUCCACCUGCCUCGGCCUCCCAAAGUGUUGGGAUCACAGGCGUGAGCCACCGCAUCCGGCCUCAUGUUCUUUUUCAUUAAAGAGAGAAAUCAACUAUUCAGGACCGGCCCCCACCUUUCCUCAGGAGUCAUUUCUGUUCCGCACAGGCCUGCUGAACUGGGUGCUUUAUAUAGGAUUUCAGUGGAGUGAAGUUCAGGAGGCAUGGAGCUGACAACCAUGAGGCCUCGGCAGCCACCGCCACCACCGCCGCCGCCACCACCGUAGCAGCAGCAGCAGCAGCAGCAGCAGCAGCAGCAGCAGCAAGAGUAACUCUGACUUAGGAAUAGAGACAGCCAGAGAGAAAUGUGAUCAAUGAAGGAGACAUCUGGAGUGUGCGUGCUUCUUCAGAGGGACGGGUGAUGGGCAGAUUGGAAAAAGCACCGCAGAUGGGAACCUUAAUCUUUCUUUUCUAAAAUUGAUGCUAUGAAAAUUUGCGUUUUCUGUAACUUGUAAAAACUAAAAGUU